UACGGAGGAUGCGAGCGUUGUCCGGAAUUACUGGGCGUAAAGAGCUCGUAGGUGGUUUGUCACGUCGUCUGUGAAAUUCCGGGGCUUAACCUCGGGCGUGCAGGCGAUACGGGCAAUACUUGAGUGCUGUAGGGGAGACUGGAAUUCCUGGUGUAGCGGUGAAAUGCGCAGAUAUCAGGAGGAACACCAAUGGCGAAGGCAGGUCUCUGGGCAGUUACUGACGCUGAGGAGCGAAAGCAUGGGUAGCGAACAGGAUUA
rnacentral:rRNA from 1 species